UCUCCAUCUAGAAGGCAAGCUUCUCAGAAUCUUGCUAACGUGAUCAGAAGCAACAUAACUUUUCUUCAGUAUUUGCAGUCCAGAUACUAAAGUUUGAAAUCUUGAGUACAUCUCCUAUAUACUCUCAUCAUCCUUCAUCUUGAACAGCUCAUACUGAUGAACUAGCAUUAGUGCCUUUGCUUCUUUAACCUUCUUGCUACCUUCGUAGUUAGCACAGAGUGAUGCAAACAUUGCCUUAGCAGUGGAUUUAUCACUCAUCUUCAUAUAUUCAGUGCGAGGUAUAGAAGCAACAAUGAUCCCUCUGAUCUUGUGAUGCUUUUUGUAAAGCUUCUUCUG
rnacentral:lncRNA from 1 species